rnacentral:rRNA from 1 species
GAUCAUGGCUCAGGAUGAACGCUAGCUACAGGCUUAACACAUGCAAGUCGGAGGGGAAACGACAUCGAAAGCUUGCUUUUGAUGGGCGUCGACCGGCGCACGGGUGAGUAACGCGUAUCCAACCUGCCCAUCACUUGGGAAUAACCUUGCGAAAGUAAGACUAAUGCCCAAUGAUAUCCCACGAAGGCAUCCGAAUGGGAUUAAAAGAUUUAUCGGUGAUGGAUGGGAUGCGU